CCUACGGGUCGCACCAGUGGGGAAUAUUGCACAAUGGGCGCAAGCCUGAUGCAGCCAUGCCGCGUGUAUGAAGAAGGCCUUCGGGUUGUAAAGUACUUUCAGCGAGGAGGAAGGCGAUAAGGUUAAUAACCUUGUCGAUUGACGUUACUCGCAGAAGAAGCACCGGCUAACUCCGUGCCAGCAGCCGCGGUAAUACGGAGGGUGCAAGCGUUAAUCGGAAUUACUGGGUGUAAAGCGCACGCAGGCGGUCUGUCAAGUCGGAUGUGAAAACCCCGGGCUCAACCUGGGAACUGCAUUCGAAACUUGCAGGCUAGAGUCUUGUAGAGGGGGGUAGAAUUCCAGGUGUAGCGGUGAAAUGCGUAGAGAUCUGGAGGAAUACCGGUGGCGAGGGCGGCCCCCUGGACAAAGACUGACGCUCAGGUGCGAAAGCGUGGGGAGCAAACAGGAUUAGAUACCCUCGUAGUC
rnacentral:rRNA from 1 species